rnacentral:rRNA from 1 species
GACGAACGCUGGCGGCGUGCUUAACACAUGCAAGUCGAGCGGUAAGGCCCUUUCGGGGUACGACGAGCGGCGAACGGGUGAGUAACACGUGGGUGACCUGCCCUCAGCUCUGGGAUAAGCCGUGGGAAACCGGGGUCUAAUACUGGAGUAUGACUCCAUGACGCGAUGUUGUGGGUGGAAAGCCUUGUGCGGCUGAGGAUGGGCCCGCGGCCUAUCAGCUUGUUGGUGGGGU